rnacentral:rRNA from 1 species
CAGCCGCCACGGUAAUACGUAGGGUGCAAGCGUUAAUCGGAAUUACUGGGCGUAAAGCGUGCGCAGGCGGUUAUAUAAGACAGAUGUGAAAUCCCCGGGCUCAACCUGGGAACUGCAUUUGUGACUGUAUAGCUAAAGUACGGCAGAGGGGGAUGGAAUUCCGCGUGUAGCAGUGAAAUGCGUAGAUAUGCGGAGGAACACCGAUGGCGAAGGCAAUCCCCUGGGCCUGUACUGACGCUCAUGCACGAAAGCGUGGGGAGCAAACAGGAUUAGAUACCCCCGUAGUCCCUGUCUCUUAUAC